AUGGCGAACCCCUCCAAUUUCCAGAUCACUCCCCGCGCCGCGUUCGUGGAGAGCAACGAGCUCAACUUCCGCAGUCUGUACCUGUUCCACACUUCCCUCGGCGCAAACCAGACCCAGUCCACCGUAAUAGACCCGAAUGCUAGUACCGGUUUGGGUCAGACGGCUGUUAACAACUGGGCGAUAUGUGAUAGCCCUAGCCCCGGUGCCACCGUCGUUGCACGUGCACAUGGCCUGCAUAUCUAUGCCGGUAACUGGCAGAACACCUUCAGCAUAACCUUUGAAGUUGAAAGGUUUAAGGGGUCAACGCUUCAGGUGAUGGGGAUAUCUGUUGAGGAAGGUGAGUGGGCUAUUGUUGGUGGCACAGGACAGUUCGCAAUGGCAAACGGUGUCAUAUACAAAAAGUUCCAUGAGCAGAGGAGCGACGGUAACAUCAUAGAACUCACUGUCCACGCGUUCUGUCCAGUGCUGAAAGGCUCGCCGAGCCUUCUCACAAAGCUUGGGCCAUGGGGUGGAAGUGGAGGGUCAGAUAAAGACAUCGUUGAGGCACCAAGGCGUCUAGAGAGCAUCACAGUUAGCAGCGGCUCGAUUAUUGAUUCAAUCAAAUUUUCUUAUGUUGACCAAGCUGGCCAGAAGCACACAAGUGGACCCUGGGGAGGAUCCGGAGGAAAUCCGAACACGAUCGUACUCGGGGCUUCUGAGUUUGUGAAGGAAGUUUCUGGAACAUACGGCAUUUAUGACGCAGACCAACACAACAUAAUAAUGUCACUGAAAUUCAUCACCAAUGUGAAGGCUUAUGGGCCUUUCGGAGAAGCGAAUGGAACCCCUUUCACCAUACCUGUGGAAAACAAUAGCAGCAUAGUGGGCUUCUUCGGGCGUAGUGGGAUAUAUCUCGAUGCGCUUGGUGUCUACGUGCGCCCGCUCUAA
rnacentral:rRNA from 1 species